GAUGAAGAACGCAGCGAAAUGCGAUAAGUAAUGUGAAUUGCAGAAUUCAGUGAAUCAUCGAAUCUUUGAACGCACAUUGCGCCCCUUGGUAUUCCGAGGGGCAAGCCUGUUCGAGCGUCAUUAUAACCCCUCAAGCUCAGCUUGGUGUUGGGGCCUGCUGCACUGGCAGCCCUUAAAAUCAGUGGCGGCGCCAUCUGGCUCUAAGCGUAGUAAUUCUUCUCGCUAUGGAGUCCUGGUGGAUGCUUGCCAUCAACCCCCAAUUUUUCUAUGGUUGACCUCGGAUCAGGUAGGGAUACCCGCUGAACUUAAGCAUAUCAAUAAGCGGAGGA
rnacentral:misc_RNA from 1 species